rfam:Arenimonas malthae CC-JY-1 contig2, whole genome shotgun sequence.
GGGGGUGUCCUGGCUUCGACGGGGGUCGCAAAGUCGACUGGCGCAUGCCGAGGGGGCAGCUUUCCUCGUUAAUCCAGCGGCAAAACCUUAGUUGCCAACGACGACAACUACGCUCUCGCCGCUUAAGGCGUAAGCCCCGAACCCACUUGUGCCCGUGCUCGUGGAUGUAGGGUCAUCAUCACGGAACAGCUCCCGGCGGCGACCCGCCAACCGGGAGUGAACUUAGCGGGUGUGGACGACGGUGUGCCUCGCACGUUGUGUUGCCGUCGUACGAGAACCAACAACGAGCUAAGCAUGUAGUGCCGGAGAUGGAGUGCUCUCGGACGGGGGUUCAACUCCCCCCACCUCCACCA